AGAACGAACGCUGGCGGCAUGCCUAACACAUGCAAGUCGAACGCUCACCGGGCUUCGGUUCGGUGGGAGUGGCGCACGGGUGAGUAGCGCGUGGGAACCUGCCCUGUUGUGGGGGAUAACCGAGGGAAACUUCGGCUAAUACCGCAUGCGCCCGGGGAAACCCGGGGAAAGAUUUAUCGCAGCAGGAGGGGCCCGCGUCGGAUUAGGUAGUUGGUAGGGUAACGGCCUACCAAGCCUUUGAUCCGUAGCUGGUCUGAGAGGAUGAUCAGCCACACUGGGACUGAGACACGGCCCAGACUCCUACGGGAGGCAGCAGUGGGGAAUAUUGGACAAUGGGCGCAAGCCUGAUCCAGCAAUGCCGCGUGAGUGAUGAAGGCCUUAGGGUUGUAAAGCUCUUUCGCCCGCGACGAUGAUGACGGUAGCGGGAGAAGAGCCCGGCUAACUCGUGCCAGCAGCCGC
rnacentral:rRNA from 1 species